AUUGAACGCUGGCGGCAGGCCUAACACAUGCAAGUCGAACGAGUGGCGGACGGGUGAGUAAUGUCUGGGAAACUGCCCGAUGGAGGGGGAUAACUAUUGGAAACGGUAGCUAAUACCGCAUACCAUCGGAUGUGCCCAGAUGGGAUUAGCUAGUAGGUGGGGUAACGGCGCACCAAGGCGACGAUCCCUAGCUGGUCUGAGAGGAUGACGAGCCACACUGGAAUGGAGACACGGUCCGGACUCCUACGGAGGGCAGCAGUGGGGAAUAUUGCACAAUGGGCGCAAUCCUGAUGCAGGCAUGCCGCGUGUAUGAAGAAGGCCUUCGGGUUGUAAAGUACUUUCGGCGGGGAGGCGUUACCCGCAGAAGAAGCACCGGCUAACUCCGUGCCAGCAGCCGCGGUAAUAC
rnacentral:rRNA from 1 species